rnacentral:rRNA from 1 species
CCCUUAGAUGUUCUGGGCUGCACGCGUGCUACACUGAUAUUGCCAAUAUGUCAUUCUUCUCCGAAAUGGAUUGGGUAAUCAAGUAAUGAAAUUUCAUGCUUGGAAUCGGUAAUUGCAAUUUUAUCGUGAACGAGGAAUUCCUAGUAAGCACUAGUCAUCAGCUAAUGUUGAUUAUGUCCCUGCCCUUUGUACACACCGCCCGUCGCUACUACUGAUUGGGUGUUCAAGUGAGAUGCUUAGACCCUUGUUGCAUGGUUCAUUAUUGUGCUCCGAAAGGAAAAAGUUUCAAGCUUGAGUGUCUAGAGGAAGUAAAAGUCGUAACA